rnacentral:rRNA from 1 species
CCUACGGGUGGCAGCAGUGAGGAAUAUUGGUCAAUGGACGAGAGUCUGAACCAGCCAAGUAGCGUGAAGGAUGACUGCCCUAUGGGUUGUAAACUUCUUUUAUAUGGGAAUAAAAUGUUCCACGUGUGGGAUUUUGUAUGUACCCUAUGAAUAAGGAUCGGCUAACUCCGUGCCAGCAGCCGCGGUAAUACGGAGGAUCCGAGCGUUAUCCGGAUUUAUUGGGUUUAAAGGGAGCGUAGGUGGAUUGUUAAGUCAGUUGUGAAAGUUUGCGGCUCAACCGUAAAAUUGCAGUUGAAACGGGCAGUCGUGAGUACAGUAGAGGUGGGCGGAAUUCGUGGUGUAGCGGUGAAAUGCUUAGAUAUCACGAAGAACUCCGAUUGCGAAGGCAGCUCACUGGACUGCAACUGACACUGAGGCUCGAAAGUGUGGGUAUCAAACAGGAUUAGAUACCCCUGUAGUC